rnacentral:lncRNA from 9 species
GGUCGCCUGAGCCCGAGGCUUCUGGCGCGCGGACCCCACGCUCUGCUGGCGGCUCUGUGGGGCGACACGGCGGGAACUCGGAGUGGUUCGCCUGGACUCUGCUGCGGGGAGCGGCGGCGGUCUCAAGUCCUGAGAGGAGUGAAUGUCGUUCCUUUUCUAGAACUUAUUGGGUUACCUGACAGCGUAGUAAACAUUCUGAAAAAUUCCCAGAGUGGAAAUGCACUAACAGCAUAUGCCCUGUUUAAGACCCAGCGUGGACUGUAGUGAGAAAGGAGCAUUAAGCCUGGAAAAGUCAAAGGAAAGAGAUAUGGAAGUAACUGUAAACUCAAUUCAGUAAAGAACAAACAUUUGGCCUGUGCUUGCCUCUCAGCUUGGUUCCUAUUUACACAUGCAGCUGGGCAGGGCUUCUGAGCCCUGGAGACGCAUGUCCCAUUGUCAGGAGGGUCCUGAGCCACCUUUGGUUCCCAGUGAACCUACAAUCAGGCUCACUGGCACAGGGGUACAGAUCUGGGUGCUGCCACUGCGAAUGUUCUGUAAUCCUGGGUCAGCAUCUAGGUAACAGAUUGCGACGCCUGCAAGGUACACCGUGACCUUGGGAGGGACCUCCUUCACUGUGAAGUACCUGCGCAGCCAUGGCUACAUGUCGACGCCGCCUCCUGUGAAGGAGUACCUGCAGGACAGGAUGGAGGAGACCAAGGAGCUGCUCUCAGAGAAGAUGGAGGAGACCAAGGACAGACUCACUGAAAAACUGCAAGAAACCAAAGGAAAGGUUUCCUUAAAGAAAAAGGUGGAAUAGGGGGCCUCAUAGGCCAGGUUUAUAGACAAUUCCUGCACUUUAACCCUUUGGAGACUAUGGGCAGAGAUUCAUGCUCCUGAUUAUUUUUUUGGUUAGCAGCCUAAAUAUAGCAGAUCUCUGAGGGUUAAAGAACUAAUAACUUUUCAAAGGUAAACAUCACUAGAAAAGUCAGUGUUUUUUAAAAGAGAAAUGAACCCAGCAAAAGAAUUCCACAGUAGCAGCGGUAAGCAGUGGUCUGCGUUGCCAGAGCCCUCCUCCUUUUGUUUUUAGUUGCAGCUGUAAUUCAUGCAGACGAGGCAGCCUGGGAGCAGGUGGUACGGCCCUAGGCAGUUUUAAUACUGCGUCUUCAUCUUUGUUGUUCAUUGAGGUUUAACUAUAUUCCAUUCUCAGUGUGUAGACAAACUGUUAACAGAACUGCCUACUAAAUAAGAGAUAUUUAGUCUUUCUCUAAAAACAGUGUAUAACAGUAUUUUAACAUCUAGUUAUGUGGAUUUCAUAUGAAAAAAGCUGAAUGAAAAUUGAGUCGUAUAUGUGAAGAAGAUAUAUUGGUUAUGUGUAAAUGAAAAAAUUGACCCUUUAAAAAUGAUUUUUACCUGAAGCUUGUCAUAAUCAAAUUUCUUAAGCAAGUCUGCGUGGUCACAGCACUUUCUCACUCAGAACGUAAAACUCUGUUGUUCCUGCACCAUGUUGUCUCCAGCUGCCCUCUCAGAGGGAAAGGGAGAAUCGUCAGAAUCCAAUUUCUUUUGGAGAUCAAACACCCUCAGCGGCACCUGAGCUUGUGGUUCUCAGCAGUGUGGGUUUGAGGAUGAAGACUGUGUCUCCACCAGCCAGUCUGUCUUGAUUUUAUUGUGGAGUCAGUGUUAAGAUUGUAGCUCGGCUUUUCCCUUGCACUGAAACAUCCUUGCUUGAGCAUUUUACUUGAAUUUCUUUAAUCACAAAGCUGUCAUUAAAUUAUCUGCUUAGAAUGAAAUUGACUGUCAGGUGUGAAAGUUGCCACAAUUGUGUGGGUGUGUUCGAGGAUGUGUGUAUCUAUUUCCUUUUGCUCUAACUGCCCUUACUUCACUUCUAACCUUUGAAUGGAUGCUGGAAGAGGGAGCAGUCUCUUGUAGACUGCUCUUGAUUGGAUGAGGAAAGAGAAUUCCGAGGGCUUGUAGGAAGCAACCCCUCAGAUCUCACUGCUGUGCCACAGAAUUUCGUGUUAAGUAUUGUGUGGCCAAACUGAGAGAGUGCUUUAAAGGGAAAAAAAAGUUUACGUUUGAUGCACCUCAUCAGCCUUUGGGGACACUUCUUAAAUGAAUACACUCUGGUGAACUCUUUCUUUGUGCGGGUGGGCAGACAGGUGCAGGGCAGGGCUCACUGCCGCACUCAGCCUCCUCAGGCAGGAUGGCUCCUGAUACAGCCCAGGGUGUGAUUUCAAAUUGACAGCACAUUUUCAAAUCAAGAACCGUGAACAUGUUUUAGCCUGUUUAUUAAAUAACUCACAGUUUUGCAGAUACUAAAUGCUAAGAUAGCUAUUAAUAGGUUUCUUGUUUAUUUUUUUUAACAAAUUGUUACUGCCUGUUUUAAAAUCAUGUGUUAUGUGAAACUUUCUCCGUAAACAAACAAUUUCCUUUUACUUUUCACCUUGCACAGGGCAUGCUUUCCAAUGCAGACAAAUUGAGUGUCUUAGAAGCACUAAUAAUCCUGGGUGCCUGCCCUUGGCUUAUUAGCCCAUCUGAGAGUUGUUGCCAUCCAGUUUUACAAUUGUGUUCAUCCAGUUACAAAAAGUGAGAUGCUGGGGAGUGCUUUGUAAUUCUCUAGUAAAAAACUCUCUGAAGGCG